rnacentral:rRNA from 1 species
GCGGGGUUACUCUAGUGGCGGACGGGUGAGUAAUACGUGAGAAUCUGCCCUUAGGGGGAGAAUAACGGCUGGAAACGGCCGCUAACUCUGCAUAUGCCGAGAGGUGAAAUAGUUUUUACUGCCUAGGGAUGAGCCCGCGCCUGAUUAGCUUGUUGGUGAGGUAAUGGCUUACCAAGGCCACGAUCAGUAGCUGGUUUGAGAGAAUGAUCAGCCACACUGGGACUGAGACACGGCCCAGACUCCUCCGGGAGGCAGCAGUGAGGAAUUUUCCGCAAUGGGCGAAAGCCUGACGGAGCAAUACCGCGUGAGGGAAUAAGGAUCUUGGUCUGUAAACCUCUUUUCUCAAGAAAGAAGUUCUGACGGUACUUGAAGAAUAAGCAUCGGCUAACUCCGUGCCAGCAGCCACGGUAAUACGGGGGAUGCAAGCGUUAUCCGGAAUCAUUGGGCGUAAAGCGCCUGUAGGUUGUUUAAUAAGUCUGUUGUUAAAGACUAGGGCUUAACCCUGGAAAAGCAAUGGAAACUACUAGACUUGAGUACGGCAGGGGUAGGGGGAACUUCUAGUGUAGCGGUGAAAUGCGUAGAUAUUAGAAAGAACACCGGUGGCGAAAGCGCCCUACUGGACCAUCACUGACACUGAGAGGCGAAAGCUA